rnacentral:rRNA from 1 species
AUCCUGUACUGUCGAGAAAAGCUUCGUGAGCGAGGUGGCUGGUCCGCCCGUACCCUAAACCGACACUGGUGGAUAGGUAGAGUAUACCGAGGUGAUCGAGAUCAUCAUGGUGAAGGAACUCGGCAAAAUGCCCCCGUAACUUCGGGAUAAGGGGGACCUGAACUGUUAAGGCCUGUACGGCUGGUAGCAGUGAGGGGCGCAGAGACCAGGGGGAAACGACUGUUUACCAAAAACACAGGUCCGUGCGAAGUCGUAAGACGAUGUAUACGGACUGACUCCUGCCCGGUGCUGGAAGGUUAAGGGGAACUGUUAGCGUUGGCGAAGCGGUGAACUUAAGCCCCAGUAAACGGCGGUGGUAACUAUAACCAUCCUAAGGUAGCGAAAUUCCUUGUCGGGUAAGUUCCGAACUGCACGAAUGGAGUAACGAUUUCCCUACUGUCUCCACCAUGAACUCGGUGAAAUUGCAGUACGAGUAAAGAUGCUCGUUACGCGCAGCAGGACGGAAAGACCCCGGGACCUUUACUAUAGUUUGGUAUUGGUGAUUGGGACGACUUGUGUAGGAUAGGUGGGAGACUGUGAAGUGGCCACGCUAGUGGUUGUGGAGUCAUUGUUGAAAUACCACUCUGCUCGUUCUGGAUAUCUAACUUUCGGCCGUGCUCCGGUUCAGGAACAGGGCCUGAUGGGUCGUUUGCUUGGGGAGUUAGCCUCCUAAAAAGUAAAGGAGGCGACCAAAGGUUCCCUCAUCCUGGGUGGUAAUCAGGUGUUGAGUGU